GCAACUGUUCAUUACAUAUUAUUUCUAAGAAAACGUUCAGGUGUUCAACAACACAAAAGUAUAAAAACACAAAAGUAGUUGCUUAAUUUUUAUAUCAUCUUCUCCUUCUUUGAUAGCUAAGUGAUGGCAUAAACGUUUUGGAGUGUUGUCACCCUAUUGUAUGGCUGGUUUUGAAAGCAUAGAACUGGGAUUCUAAUAAAGUGUUCUAGAGAUUAAGGCUAAAAGAGCGACGAGACGAACGGGUUACGAAUAGCCGCUAACAGGUACAGACGAUCGAUUUGUUGAUCCGCCCGCUUAGGAUCCUAUUCUGCUAUCUUGGAAUGCUCCUUAGUCCGGAGCCUAUAUUUUGGGUACAGACUCUUCUGUUGCACAUAUGUAUGUUAUUCAGGGGUAUGACGGGGCCCUGUCCUGUCUUAUGAUUUGCUUGUUGUUCGUAGAGGUCUGUAGAGAUACAUGUGGGUUGUGUAUAUGUUUUGGGUUACUAUGUUCUAUGAUAGCCUUAUCGGCUUCCGUGCGAUAUGUCUGUUUGUCUACGAUAAUUAGUAAAGCCAUUCGACUGCCGUAUCUGUAUAUUAUGCUUAUAUUCUGGUUUGGGUUGUUGAGUACGUAUGGGUGUCCAGCACGGACA